UCAGCCGCGCCGCCGCGGCCCCGCGCGGAGGAGGAGGAGGAGCCGCCGUCGCCGCCGCCGCCGCCGCCGCAUCAAAGACACCGGAUUCCCGCGGCCUGGGGGGCGUCAUGCUUUGCGGUCUGUGAUGUCCGCAGAACAGGACAAGGAGCCCAUUGCGCUGAAGAGAGUUCGAGGUGGUGAUAGUGGAUUGGAUGGGUUAGGAGGACCAGGUGUACAACUAGGAAGCCCAGAUAAGAAAAAACGCAAGGCAAAUGCACAGGGGCCUUCUUUUCCUCCAUUGUCUGAGUAUGCUCCACCACCAAACCCAAACUCUGACCAUCUAGUGGCUGCUAAUCCAUUUGAUGACAACUAUAAUACUAUUUCCUAUAAACCACUACCUUCGUCAAAUCCGUAUCUUGGCCCUGGUUAUCCUGGCUUUGGAGGCUAUAGCACAUUCAGAAUGCCACCUCACGUUCCCCCAAGAAUGUCUUCCCCAUACUGUGGUCCUUACUCACUCAGGAACCAGCCACACCCAUUUCCUCAGAAUCCUCUGGGCAUGGGCUUUAAUCGACCUCCUGCUUUUAACUUUGGGCCACAUGAUAAUUCAAGUUUUGGAAAUCCAUCGUAUAAUAAUGUACUAAGUCAGAAUGUUAACAUACCUAAUCAACAUUUUAGACAAAAUCCUGCUGAAAACUUCAGUCAGAUUCCUCCACAGAAUGCUGGUCAAAUAUCUAACCCUGAUUUGGCACCUAAUUUUGUCCCUGGAAGUAAUUCAAAUUUCACCUCUCCUUUAGAAUCUAAUCAUUCUUUUAUUCCACCUCCAAACACUUUUGGUCAAGCAAAAGCACCACCUCCCAAACAAGACUUUGGUCAAGGAACAACCAAAAAUGCUAAUCAAAAUUCCUCUGCUCACCCACCCCACUUAAAUAUGGAUGACAGUGUGAAUCAGAGUAAUAUUGAAUUAAAAAAUGUUAACCGAAACAAUGUACUUAAUCAAGAGAACAGUCGUUCAGGAAGCACUGAAGGUACAAACAACAGCCAUGCAAAUGGGACGCAGAAUAAGCCACGACAACCUAGAAGUGCAGCCGACAUGUGCACCACAGAGAAAAGCAAUAAGUCCUCUCUCCACCCCAGCCGUCACGGCCAUUCGUCUUCCGACCCGGUGUAUCCAUGUGGAAUUUGUACAAAUGAAGUGAAUGAUGAUCAGGAUGCCAUUUUGUGUGAGGCCUCCUGUCAGAAGUGGUUUCACCGGAUCUGCACUGGGAUGACUGAAACAGCUUAUGGCCUCCUCACUGCAGAAGCCUCAGCAGUGUGGGGCUGCGACACCUGUAUGGCUGACAAAGAUGUCCAGUUAAUGCGCACCAGAGAAACUUUUGGGCCCCCUGCUGUGGGCAGUGAUGCUUAGUCACAGGCAUUAACUAAAAUGGGCUUUUCCCUGUGUACUGCAGAGGUUCUGACAGGAUUUUAAUGUUUGACAUUAUUUUUGUUAAUGCACACACAAAACAUUACUGCCUUUUAGUCCUUACUACUACUCUACUUCAUCACUACUGCAAUUUCUGUAUUGUUGCUAUCUUAAAAGAGAAUAAUGGAUGUGAGGGUGCUUUAGAAACACCUCUAAGUAAAUGCUUUGAUAUUUAUCAUAAACAUAAAAGCCUCAUGAAGCUUCAAAAUAACUUAUAACAAAGGUAGGCAAGUUUUAACUUUCAAAGUUUAGACUAAUUGAAAAAUGUGUGUUUCAGUGCUGAACUUUGGCCACACCACAUUAAACAUUUAGUUCAAAGUUUUUUAAGGAUCCAUUUAAAUGUUUUCCAUAUACAUAAAAUAUGCAGCUAUAACAUGGAGGAAAGCAUACAUUUUAAUGGAUUAAAAAAAAUAAGAGUAUGGUGUUAGAUUCCUUCUCUACUAGGGUCUUUGAAAUUAGUGGAUUUCAGAUUUUGAACUCAGUCUCUAGAGGAUAUCUGCAGGUGCAAGACAGAGAGACUUUAGCAUACAGUGGAUUCUCAGUAAGAAUUUGUUAAUUAACUUGUAGAUGGUGCUCCAUGAAAUUGCUCAUAUUUGAUCAGUUGAAAAUUGACUGCAGUUAGUAAGAUGGUAUAAAGUAUGUUUCCAGUUUUACUGUUUAGAAUUAUGUUAGAAUUAUGUGCUUAAUAUUCCGUGACUAUUCAGUUGUUUUCUGGAGAAAUAAAUAAUAGAGCACCCUCAGAAGAAUUGCGAACACUUUGUUUUACAUGACUUUAAACUGGGACAUAUUGCAAAUAAGAAAGAGGUAGAAGCAUCAGUUUGGCCUCAGAGGGCUCUACUGGCCAAAGAACUCCACAGAGGUGGGUUGAAAAAUCUUGCUCUGGGAGUCCGAGCUUCCAAAAUGAACCUCAGGGAAGAUCAAAAUCCAUUUUAAACCAAGUCCAACUUAGAGCCAAGGUGAAAGCUAACUUGCAAACAAAUUAAGGCCUUGCUUCAGGCUUAGGAGUUUUCUACUGCAACUGGGAAAAGUGUGAAAAUGGAUCUGAGAGUAUAGUAGCUCCAGAGAGAAUGGAGACAGUUGGAGGUACGCUCAUUGACAGUCAAAAUAGCAAGCCAGGCACCAGUGGCUCAUGUCUGUAAUCUUAACUACUUGAGAGGCAGAGAUCAGAAGGAUCAAGGAUUGAGGCCAACUUGAUUUUUUGAGACCCUUUCUCAAAAACACCCAACACAGAAAAAGGCCUGGCAGAGUGGUUCAAGUGGGUAGAGGGCCUGCCUUACAAGUGAAGCCCUGAGUUCAAACUCCAGUACCUCAAAAACAUAUAUAUAGUCAAAACAGCAAAAGCCCAUUUUUGGAGCAGAUCAGAACCUAUGACCAAAAUAAAUGUGAAGAGAUUGGAUGGUUGGAUGUUGACGAAGUUCACUGACAGUGCACCACCAUUAUUACUUCCAUCAUAAGAGUUAUGAAGACCUGGGGCAAACAAUGACAGCAGCAGCAUGUUGUCAAGAAAUUUAAAUCAUGCAUGAGAAUCUUGACUGAAAAGCAAAACUCUUGGACCAGGGUCAGUGGCUCACGUCUGUAACACCAGCUGCGUGGCAGGCAGAGAUAAAAGGAUUGCAAUAUGAGACCAGCCCAGGCAAAAAGUUGUGUUUUAAUUUCUUCAUAACCAAACAGCAAUUUCAUAUGGUGCAAGGUAAUACAAGGUUUUUUCCAUUUCUCCUGACUACUUAGAAGCAACCAGCCAGGGAGACCUGGACUCAUCGUGGAGGAGCUGCACCUCAACUCAGCUUCCCACAGGACUGAUGGCUUCUUCCAACUGCACCUUUCUGUGUGGUUUGAUGCCUCCACACACCGCAGGCUGACUUUCUUGGACGACUCCUUUAUAAAUAAACCAAGACUGCAUGAUGCUUUAGUAGUUUCUCUAAUGACAAGUUUCCUUUCAUACUUGCUUUGUAUGAAGCGAAAGCAACAAGGGGAUGGGACUCCUUGCCUUAAUGCAAACCCACCAUGAAGAGCUAGCAGAGUGCCUGGCCUCAGUGGGCCUCUCCUUGAGAAAGGGAGGACCUGUGUUUUUUCUUGACUUUGUAAGUUUCCCGCUUUCUCCAAAU